UGCCUGAGCCGAGCUUUCAUUAUCUGGUUUGAAAUAAAAAUAAAAUGCUAAAAUUCCAACCUUAAAUUUUAUUCGAGAAUGGGAUUAGGGUUCUUGCUAGACAAUAACAUUAUAUUCAACUAAAAAAUUAAGUGAUGAAUAUAUAUUAAAUACCCUUUGCAUCUAAAACUUGAAAUAAAAUGAGCCCACAUUCUUAAAUAAAGUUGGAUGAUAAUAUCAAGUUAUCCUCACAUGUCCUUAAAGCUCCAAUUCCUCCUCACCCCACUACUUCUCACCAGCUUAGGUUCAUCAUUGUCAGAUUCAAAUGCCGUAGCUCCGUAAGGGGAAUCGAUUGUCUUUAGGCGGCGAUGACCCUUGUUUAUCUUAUUUUUAGCGAUCACCAAUGAUGUUGGCUCAUGAUCACUUUUAAUUUCAUUGUAAUAUGUGGGGCUAAUGCCUGAACAACUUGUACCAACCCUUUCUUUACAAUUCUUUUCUUUAGCACAAUAUUCCCUAUAAUUGUUUGAAUUUUAUCUGUGUUGGCAAAUCAAGCAAUUGAGGCUCAUGGUCGCUUUGGUUUUUGUUUGUCCCCCCAUACCAAUAUGAAUAUUUCUUUUAUCGAGAUUUGAAGGGCAAUUCG
rnacentral:lncRNA from 1 species